rnacentral:rRNA from 1 species
CCUACGGGGGUCUGCCGUGAGGAAUAUUGGUCAAUGGUCGGGAGACUGAACCAGCCAAGCCGCGUGAGGUAUGAAGGUACAGAGUAUCGUAAACCUCUUUUGUCAGGGAACACAGGCGGGGACGUGUCCCCGGAUGAGUGUACCUGAAGAAAAAGCAUCGGCUAACUCCGUGCCAGCAGCCGCGGUAAUACGGAGGAUGCGAGCGUUAUCCGGCUUUAUUGGGUUUAAAGGGUGCGCAGGCGGGCUGUUAAGUCAGCGGUAAAAGCCCGGGGCGCAACCCCGGCCCGCCGUUGAAACUGGCAGUCUCGAGUUGGAGAGAAGUAUGCGGAAUGCGCGGUGGAGCGGUGAAAUGCAUAGAUAUCGCGCAGAACUCCGAUUGCGAAGGCAGCAUGCCGGCUCCACACUGACGCUGAGGCACGAAAGCGUGGGUAUCGAACAGGAUUAGAUACCCCAGUAGUC